UUCUGACACGGGUGGUGUUUUUAUAGUUUUUACUCAAAGUUCGUUGUGCCCUAGGACGGUAGGGUUCUUGUGCAAAGCAAAUUCGCAAAUUUCACCCAUUCAAAAAGCACAUAAUCGAACAUGGCACUUCGUUUGUUCCGUCUCAGUCAGGAUGUGGUUACGCCACUAAUAAAACGGGGUUGUGCCGUGUCUGCAUUCGAGCUACAGCACAAGAAUCCGAUCCAGCGUAAGGUGGAGCAGGUUCCGGUGGCACAGUAUGGUGGACGACAUACGGUGACCAUGCUACCGGGCGGUGGUAUCGGCCCGGAACUGAUGAAUUACGUUAGGGAGGUGUUUCGGUUUGCCGGUGUACCGGUUGACUUCGAAAUCGUGGAUAUUGAUCCGGCAAGCGAAGGAAACGAAGACCUGGAGUACGCAAUCACAUCGAUCAAGCGGAACGGUGUGGCCAUCAAGGGUAACAUUGAAACGAAGUCCGAAUCGACCGGAAUUAUUUCGCGUAAUGUGGCCCUAAGGAACGAGCUGGAUUUGUUCGUGAAUGUGUUGCACUGCAAGUCGUUCAAUGCCAUUCCGGCCCAUCAUCAGAACGUGGAUGUGGUCAUCGUCCGACAGAAUACGGAGGGCGAGUAUGCCAUGCUGGAGCACGAGAGCGUACGCGGUGUGGUGGAGAGUAUGAAGGUGAUAACGGCGGAGAAUGCGGCCCGAGUGGCACGAUUCGCGUUCGAGUUUGCUCGCAACAACAACCGCAAGAAGGUGACGACCAUUCACAAGGCCAACAUUAUGAAGCUGGCUGACGGUAUGUUUUUGAAAAUGGCCCGCGAAGUUGCCAAAGACUACCCGGACCUUCAGCAUAACGAUAUGAUUAUCGACAAUUGCUGUAUGCAGCUGGUUUCCAACCCGCACCAGUUCGACGUGAUGAACACGACCAACCUGUACGGCAGUAUCACGUCUAAUGUGCUGUGCGGUUUGGUCGGUGGAGCUGGUUUGUUCUCCGGCCGGAACUAUGGCGAUCAUUAUGCUGUUUUCGAACCGGGUACUCGCAACACCGGCACCAGCAUCGCCGGUAAGAACGUGGCCAACCCGGUGGCCAUGCUGAACGCUGCCGUCGAUAUGCUGUACCAUUUGGGUCAUCGGUAUCACGCCGAUAGCAUCUCGGAUGCGAUUCACAAGACCAUCGACGUCGACGGAAUCCACACGCCAGAUUUGGGUGGUCAAAAUACCAGCUCGGAAAUCGUUCAGAAAGUUCUGCAGCAUCUGGCCGAGAAGAGAACUUAUUGGACACCACUUCUAGUGCAAUAAAUAAAGCAGUUUCCUAACCAAACUAGAAAGCACAUAGCAUACUAACAAUAGCAGCACCGAUAAAAAAAUCCUUCAUAUUUAGGAAGCAAUAACAUCCUUCAGCUUCCAAGUGUGUACAGCGUUCGUGGUUUAAAAAUUAAAUCCGAUUUUAGGUAUACUUCUAGGGGCUUUAACGCAUCAAUCUUUGUACCGUCGGGAGAGCUUCCGUUUCCGGUGCAACCGUCGAGUUGGUGAUGAGACGCUGUGAACCCUCAACGUAAUCCCACAUCCGUCACAUUGACAAUGAAUAAAAAAAAACCCUUGUACUUACUAUUUUGCGUAUUAACAGUCAACAUUUCUCCUCUCCGAUGCCAUCUAAUUUGCCCUCAGUAACCAGUGCAAAGAAAGCUUAACCGAUAGACCCGUUUUUUUUUGCAUUUUGAACGUUUUUCACCGACAUCACCGAAUGGGCAAAAGCUUUGCUUAAUUUGCAUGAUCAAUAAGUUCUCAUUUUUGUUCAUGUUUCGUUUCGUCAUAACAAAAAAAAACACACACACACCAAUCCAAAGGCGAAGGCAUCAAAGUGACCGUUGACAAUCGCACCCCUGCGUUGGUGUUUGUUUUUGUUUGGAAACGGUAGGCAAGAUUUCGUUAAGAGGAGAAUCUCACGACUGCGUCCCGCCUCCAUCCCAGCCUAAUUCGUUAUGUUCUAUUUAUAUUCAGUUACGGAAGCGUAAAACAAGCUUACUCUCAGCACCUUCAAAAUCGUGUAGCGCCAGUACACGAGGUGAGUUUACAAAAAAAAAACGACACCAACAAAACAACGGAACUAUGCAUAAAACAAAACCCAGGUAAGCAGCAGCCAUCCACCCAACUGACGACGGGGUGGAUGCAAGCUGCAAAGUUUCAUAAAUAAAUCAUCGUGACUAGUAGCAGGAUGGAGGGUGCUUGCUAGUUUACCGGAAAUGGAAGUGAAAUGUCACCGAGAAUAAUCACUACGAACAGUCCCUGACUGCCCCUAGCCCAAGUAGCAGGAGUAAUUCUUCGAGUUCUUCGUUGCUGGUGGUGGCUUUUCUGCCAACGGAAUCAUUAUAACCGUUUUUUUUUUGAAGCAGUCGAGUGUUGUUUAGCUUGCCUCUUGAAGCUUUCCGUGCUAUUAUCAUUUUUUUCUUCUUUAUACUCUAGAGAUACCAACUGUUGCGAAUGAAUCGUUUUGUUUUUAGGACUAACAUUAUCUGAGAAAAAGAUUACAACUCGUAUUCAACAUGUCAAUCUUUUUUUUUUAUACUGUACAAACUCAAUUUAAUGCGAUCGUUUCGUUUGACAAUAUCGUUAA